AUUGAACGCUGGCGGCAGGCCUAACACAUGCAAGUCGAACGGUAGCACAGAGAGCUUGCUCUCGGGUGACGAGUGGCGGACGGGUGAGUAACGUCUGGGAAACUGCCCGAUGGAGGGGGAUAACUACUGGAAACGGUAGCUAAUACCGCAUAACGUCGCAAGACCAAAGUGGGGGACCUUCGGGCCUCACACCAUCGGAUGUGCCCAGAUGGGAUUAGCUAGUAGGUGGGGUAAUGGCUCACCUAGGCGACGAUCCUUAGCUGGUCUGAGAGGAAGACCAGGCACACUGGAACUGAGACACGGUCCAGACUCCUACGGGAGGCAGCAGUGGGGAAUAUUGCACAAUGGGCGCAAGCCUGAUGCAGCCAUGCCGCGUGUAUGAAGAAGGCCUUCGGGUUGUAAAGUACUUUCAGCGGGGAGGAAGGCGGUGAAGUUAAUAACUUCACCGAUUGACGUUACCCGCAGAAGAAGCACCGGCUAACUCCGUGCCAGCCGCCGCGGUAA
rnacentral:rRNA from 1 species